UGCAAGUCGAACGAACUUCCGUUAAUUGAUUAUGACGUACUUGUACUGAUUGAGAUUUUAACACGAAGUGAGUGGCGAACGGGUGAGUAACACGUGGGUAACCUGCCCAGAAGUAGGGGAUAACACCUGGAAACAGAUGCUAAUACCGUAUAACAGAGAAAACCGCAUGGUUUUCUUUUAAAAGAUGGCUCUGCUAUCACUUCUGGAUGGACCCGCGGCGUAUUAGCUAGUUGGUGAGGUAAAGGCUCACCAAGGCAGUGAUACGUAGCCGACCUGAGAGGGUAAUCGGCCACAUUGGGACUGAGACACGGCCCAGACUCCUACGGGAGGCAGCAGUAGGGAAUCUUCCACAAUGGACGCAAGUCUGAUGGAGCAACGCCGCGUGAGUGAAGAAGGGUUUCGGCUCGUAAAGCUCUGUUGUUAAAGAAGAACGUGGGUAAGAGUAACUGUUUACCCAGUGACGGUAUUUAACCAGAAAGCCACGGCUAACUACGUGCCAGCAGCCGCGGUAAUACGUAGGUGGCAAGCGUUAUCCGGAUUUAUUGGGCGUAAAGCGAGCGCAGGCGGUCUUUUAAGUCUAAUGUGAAAGCCUUCGGCUCAACCGAAGAAGUGCAUUGGAAACUGGGAGACUUGAGUGCAGAAGAGGACAGUGGAACUCCAUGUGUAGCGGUGAAAUGCGUAGAUAUAUGGAAGAACACCAGUGGCGAAGGCGGCUGUCUGGUCUGCAACUGACGCUGAG
rnacentral:rRNA from 1 species